rnacentral:lncRNA from 1 species
CUUAUAUAUGGAAAAAAGAAAGAAGAAAAACCGAACCGGUUCUGUUUGGAAAGGAAUUGUCAAUGGUUCAAUUUGGUUAAAAAAUAUUUUUCAAAAAUAUAGAACCAAUUUACUGAACUGUUAUAACAUAUCUACCUAGAAAUGUGAUGAGUUCGGACCUUGAAGGCCCAAUCCUUCGUCGUACGGAAUGAGUAUAACUUGACUACAAGGGAAACAAAUCGCCUAGACCUGUGUUGUGUAGCAAGACUAACAAGUUGAGAACAGG